AAAGCCCUAACUCAUAAGAGAAAAAAACAAAUUCUAACCUAAACCUAACUACAGAGAAGAAAAAAGACACACUCAUUUGCGGCGUGUGUAGUCUUGGAAGUGUUAUGAAUAUGUUUGGCUGUCUUGCAUCUGCAUAAAAAACUGUGAAGAAAACUGUGAAGGAAUGAUUCACUUCAUCGCUUAUUUUCACUGGAAUGAAAUUCUAUCACGCUUUUGUUGGUUCAAAGGACUUUCUACAGAGUACUCGUUUCUUAUAUCGUAAUGUCAAGGAAUAUGGUUUCGCCAAAACAUGUCGGGAAUGCGGAGAGUUUUGGGGAAUGCGGAGAGUUUUGGGGAGUGUUUGGAAAGGAGCAUGAACAUGUUAGUAGUUCAAGUUUUGAUGAAGUUCUAGCUUGCAAAGGUGCUUCACCCAUGAAACCAAUUGCGUCGGAGAAGGACCUUGUAGUAUUUCUCUCGGGGGAAGUGGAGAAGGAAAACUCUUCACAAAGAAACAGUAGUUUACAGCUUGACCCUUUACAGCUUGACCCUGUAAACACCAGAGGAAUUCUACCAAAAUAUCUGAGAAGACGGCGCGUGAAGAAUUAAAGGAAAUAUCUAAUGCAAAGAAUGGUGAUAGUGCUGGCAAAGGAAGAGCUACAAAAAGCGUAAAUUUGUCAAGAAGUUCCAAAUGAGGAAAAAGGGAACGCAAAUGACGACACCAGAACUUGUAGCAAAGUCGCUGAAAAGGAAACAAAGGCUCUUGAUUUGAAGAAUGAGAGGUUGAAGCCAUGUACGAGAAUUGAUACGUAAGCAAAUUUACGUCGAGGACAAAACAACUUGGUGGCUCAAUUUCAAAUUAGAAUGUUGACCCUGAUAUUAAUGAUUCAGAAAAUGAGUGUCCAUCCUUGACUGCUAGUGACGGAAGUAAUUCAUGGUUGAAAGCACUGAAAGAUUAAUAGCUGAAUCUGAUUAUCACAAGUGGAUAUCACAACUUGGAUUUGUCUAGGAAGCUCACUUUCACUUUGCUGAAUUUUCUUUGUGAUGAGCUUUGGGCACUGACUAAGAAGAGUGUCAAAAAAUUGAGGUGUGUAUUGAAGAUCAAAAUGCAAAACAUGCAGAAGAUGUGAAAGAAGCAAAUCCAAGGUUGCUGAGCUGUG